rnacentral:rRNA from 1 species
UACGGAGGAUCCAAGCGUUAUCCGGAAUCAUUGGGUUUAAAGGGUCCGUAGGCGGUCUAAUAAGUCAGUGGUGAAAGCCCAUCGCUUAACGAUGGAACGGCCAUUGAUACUGUUAGACUUGAAUUAUUGGGAAGUAACUAGAAUAUGUAGUGUAGCGGUGAAAUGCUUAGAUAUUACAUGGAACACCAAUUGCGAAGGCAGGUUACUAUCAAUAUAUUGACGCUGAUGGACGAAAGCGUGGGGAGCGAACAGG